rnacentral:rRNA from 1 species
UACGAAGGGGGCUAGCGUUGUUCGGAAUUACUGGGCGUAAAGCGCGCGCAGGCGGUCUUUCAAGUCAGUGGUGAAGGCCUGGAGCUCAACUCCAGAACUGCCAUUGAAACUGCAAGACUUGAGUACGAGAGAGGUGAGUGGAAUUCCCAGUGUAGAGGUGAAAUUCGUAGAUAUUGGGAAGAACACCGGUGGCGAAGGCGGCUCACUGGCUCGUAACUGACGCUCAGGCGCGACAGCGUGGGGAUCAAACAGG